rnacentral:lncRNA from 1 species
GGAGCAAUGCUUGACAGCUCUGCAUUUAGAUUUCUGAAACAUUAUAACCAAUUAUUCAUUUAAUUAAUGUGGUGGAAUAUGGGCUGGAGUAGAUUUCUGAGCAUCCGUGUCCCUAGAAGUACGGAUGCGUCUCCACAGGAGACUUAAGGGAACAGAGGGUUGGCCACUUACAUGCAGAAAAAGCGCUUUAUUUCUCUAUUGCUCAACUAAUUCAGUGUUUUCCUUGAGCCUGAGCAGAUGAGACCAAACCCACGAGCUCACCUGCUUCUGAACAUGGGUUUCCAAACUUUACUCAAGAAUUGCUCUUGAUAUGAGCCACUAUUUACGGGUUUGGAUGGGCUUCAGCUGCUUUGACUGCACACAUCCUGCAUAACAGAGCAUCUAACUCAUCAGCUGUAACUAGACACAGCCGAUACUGAGAACUUCAGGUUACCUAAGGGAAACCUUAGGUAAAACAGCUGCUACCCAAGCCUUAUAUAGUCAGCACUAUAUAAAUAAAAGUGAUUCAAACUCCAACUCAGUAUUAACUUAAUUGCAUCUAUCUUUUCAGAUACAGUCCACGGGUUUAGAAUGGUGAUUUAUAAAUAUACUGACAACACUGAGGGGCAUCAGCUCUGGUCUUUGCAGUUGCCAGGCUUCAGCCAAACAUUCUACAUUUUAACCUCGCAAUUUCAUACAGCCAGAUUUCAGGCUGGAGGCCUAAAAACCUGCUUUAGGAAAUGAAAGGCUGGUGAGGGGGUUUUAUUCUUUUGUAUAAUCACUUGCUACAUGUUUCUCUGUGUAAAGUAUCCAAUACUAUCAAUAUAAUAAUGUUAUUUAAGGCAAGCAUGUUACAUAUUCUGAGGGCAGCUGAACAUAACUUCCUUAUUUUCAAGGUGCAGCAUUAGUGCUUACGUAGGAAACCCUAUUAGUUCAAGCUGAUGCAGUGCUUUAGUACUAACUUCUGUACUCCAAACACAACUAUUUAUUUUUAUUUCACCUUAUGUAAAUGGUAUAAUACUGUAAUGACCUUAGCAGCAGUCUGGUACCGCCCUUAUGUUCACAAGUUAGUAGCCAAUACCUGGUGCUGGAUGUAAUUUACUUUAUAAUCUAAACAUUCUGCUCAGUAGAACAGGCUCAUUCAUUUCAAAUUCUGUAUUUUUAGAAACUGUAGGACCACAGCAGUCUUCACAGCGUCCUCUGUCACCAUCCCUUCCCUGUGAGACAGGAUCAAUGUGCCCAGACCACUAGUACUGGAUGUCGUGACAAAAGAUGUGGCAUUACUUUUUAUAUGAAAUGGUGUUUCCUGCCAGCCCGGGACUAGUGAUGGAUUCUGG